CUACAGCUGUACUGUAGUAUGCCUGUAGUAGAAAUCACAAAUUUCAUAUUACAGAAAUCUUACUAAUUUUCUUAUCUGGUCUUCCAGAUGCAUGUUUUGUAGAUGGUGAAUCUCAAGUGAAACUAAGAACUUUGAGUCGUCAUUACAUGUAAUUGACUAUCGUUUCCAAUUUUGAUAAUGGUUUUUUGUUCUGUAUGAUAUAUUUCAAGUACUCGCCUGAGCUCUCUUCCUUUCUGUGACCCUAUCUUAUCUAUGGUUUAAUAAUCCUGUUGUGCCAUAGACCUUAUCCACUGGUGGAAUGUCGAGAAAUGUUGAACUUGUUCCAGGUUAAUCUUUCGCCAUUUUGUUACGAUGUGAAGCACUUGAAAUGAAAGAUAAACAGAAGGUGAUGGUUUAUUUUUUCAAAAAUUGUGUCUGACGACUAAAUCAAUUUUUAAUUCAACAAUCUCAUGCAUCUACAAGUUUACUGAUGCAUAUCGCGAUCUUAAUCAUUACGCACAUUUUGGCGAGAAUAAACGUAAUUUAAAUAA